CCUACGGGGGGCAGCAGUGAGGAAUAUUGGUCAAUGGGCUUACGCCUGAACCAGCCAAGUCGCGUGAGGGAAGACUGCCCUAUGGGUUGUAAACCUCUUUUGUCAGGGAGUAACGGGCGCCACGUGUGGCGCCACUGAGAGUACCCGGAGAAAAAGCAUCGGCUAACUCCGUGCCAGCAGCCGCGGUAAUACGGAGGAUGCGAGCGUUAUCCGGAUUUAUUGGGUUUAAAGGGUGCGUAGGCGGAGCGUUAAGUCAGUGGUCAAAUUGAGGGGCUCAACCCCUUCCCGCCAUUGAAACUGGCGCUCUUGAGUGGAAGAGAAGUAUGCGGAAUGCGUGGUGUAGCGGUGAAAUGCAUAGAUAUAACGCAGAACCCCGAUUGCGAAGGCAGCAUGCCGGCUUCCUACUGACGCUGAAGCACGAAAGCGUGGGGAUCGAACAGGAUUAGAUACCCCUGUAGUC
rnacentral:rRNA from 1 species